AUUGAACGCUGGCGGCAUGCUUUACACAUGCAAGUCGAACGGUAACAGGCCGCAAGGUGCUGACGAGUGGCGAACGGGUGAGUAAUGCAUCGGAACGUGCCCAGUCGUGGGGGAUAACACAGCGAAAGCUGCGCUAAUACCGCAUACGAUCUAUGGAUGAAAGCGGGGGACCGAAAGGCCUCGCGCGAUUGGAGCGGCCGAUGUCAGAUUAGGUAGUUGGUGGGGUAAAGGCCCACCAAGCCAACGAUCUGUAGCUGGUCGUAGAGGACGACCAGCCACACUGGGACUGAGACACGGCCCAGACUCCUACGGGAGGCAGAAGUGGGGAAUUUUGGACAAUGGGCGCAAGCCUGAUCCAGCAAUGCCGCGUGCAGGAAGAAGGCCUUCGGGUUGUAAACUGCUUUUGUACGGAACGAAACGGUCCGGGUUAAUACCCGGGGCUAAUGACGGUACCGUAAGAAUAAGCACCGGCUAACUACGUGCCAGCCGCCGCAGUAAAAC
rnacentral:rRNA from 1 species